ACUCGGCAUAAUGAUCCCGUAACUUCGGAAGGAGGGAUGCCUUUUCAGGUUGCCAGACUUGCUCUGGUUGCUCGAAGAGGCCGCAGAGAAUCGACUCAAGCGACUGUUUAGCAAAAACACAGGUGCGUGCCAAGCCGCAUAAGGCGCCGUAUACGGACUGACUCCUGCCCGGUGCCGGAAGGUUAAGGGGAGAGGCUAGCCGCAAGGCGAAGCUUUGAUCCGAAGCCCCGGUAAACGGCGGCCGUAACAAUAACGGUCCUAAGGUAGCGAAAUUCCUUGUCGGGUAAGUUCCGACCUGCACGAAUGGAGUAACGACUUGAGUACUGUCUCGACCACGUGCUCGGCGAAAUAGCAGUCUCGGUGAGGAUUCCGAGUCCCCGCGACAGGACAAAAAGACCCCAUGCACCUUUACUGCAGCUUGUUAUUGACGAUUGCAUAAGACUGUGUAGCAUAGGUGGGAGCCGUUGAGACGGGGGCGCUAGCUCUCGUGGAGGCAACAGUGAAAUACCACCCUGUGUUCUGUGAUCGUCUCACCGCGGUAGGCAAACCCUACCCGGGACCGUGACAGGUGGGCAGUUUGACUGGGGCGGUCGCCUCCGAAAGAGUAACGGAGGCGCGCGAAGGUUGGCUCAGCGCGGUCGGUAAUCGCGCCUAUAGAGUGUAACGGCAGAAGCCAGCCUGACGGUGAGACCGACGGGUCGAACCGAGACGAAAGUCGGCCGUAGUGAUCCGGUAGACCGGUGUGGAUCGGCUAUCGCGCAACGGAUAAAAGGUACGCUGGGGAUAACAGGCUUAUCGCGCCCGAGAGUUCACAUCGACGGCGCGGUUUGGCACCUCGAUGUCGGCUUGUCACAUCCUGGGGCUGGAGAAGGUCCCAAGGGUCCGGCUGUUCGCCGGUUAAAGUGGCACAUGAGCUGGGUUCAGAACGUCGUGAGACAGUUCGGUCUGUAUCCGUCGUGGGCGUUGGAGGGUUGAGGGGUGCGAACUCUAGUACGAGAGGACCGAGUUGGACGAUCCGCUCGUGUCCCGGCUGUGGCGCCAGCUGCAACGCCGGGUAGCGAUGAUCGGUGGCGAUAACCGCUGAAAGCAUCUAAGUGGGAAGCGUCCCCCAAGAUGAACCCUCCCUGGGAACUUGAUUCCCCUAAAGGGCCGGAGGAGACUACUCCGUCGAUAGGCAACAAGUGGAAGUAGCGCAAGCUAUUACGAGCUCAGUUGUCCUAAUCGCCCGUGCGCUUGACUCC
rnacentral:rRNA from 1 species